GCAUAACACACUGCGGCUAUAUGUACACGAAUAUUUUAUUAUUAUUAUAUUGGGAUAUAUAAGACAGUUUAACAACCAAAACAACCAGGGUUUAGCCGAAAUACAAGUCUUGCAUAGAAGGUUACCAUCACGACAACAACUACAUUUGAAGGAUUUGCGUACCUGGGUUUCACAAGGUACAUGAU